rnacentral:rRNA from 1 species
UACGUAGGGAGCAAGCGUUGUCCGGAAUCAUUGGGCGUAAAGCGCGCGUAGGUGGCUCCGUAAGUCCGUUGUGAAAGUCAAAGGCUCAACCUUUGAAAGCCGAUGGAUACUGUGGAGCUAGAGUACGGAAGAGGCGAGUGGAAUUCCUGGUGUAGCGGUGGAAUGCGCAGAUAUCAGGAGGAACACCAAUAGCGAAGGCAGCUCGCUGGGACGUUACUGACACUGAGGCGCGAAAGCGUGGGGAGCGAACAGG